AAGCUCGACGACGACGACAUCGUCUCCGACAUCCUGGCUGGGCUCGAUGAUGAUUUUGACCCGGUUGUCUCUGCAGUCGCCCAACGUUCUGAGCCAAUCUCAGUCGGUGAGUUGUUUUCACAGCUUGUUACUUUUGAGC
rfam:Oryza sativa Japonica Group DNA, chromosome 2, cultivar: Nipponbare, complete sequence.